rfam:Myotis brandtii contig270608, whole genome shotgun sequence.
GACAGUUCUCAGGUGACGCACACCGGAAUCGGGCUCCCUCCUCUCUGGUUCUGGGUGCACAUCACCAGAGAACGCA